rnacentral:ribozyme from 1 species
UCCAGGAAACAAACAACAACAACAAAAAAAAAAAAAAAAAAAAAAAAAGAAAAAAGAAAAAAA